rnacentral:lncRNA from 1 species
UGGUUUACGCCGCCUGCUGCACAAGCGCAAGGUCCCGAGUUCAAUCCCCGGUACCAAAAAAAAAAAAAGAAAAGCCAGCUAGGGCAACUUUCACUGAGGGUUAAGGGCUCAAAGGAAGGGUCAGAAACAGGCAUCCAGAGCAGUUGCUCAGCAACACAGCCAUGACAUCAAGGCCUUUGUCAUCCUCAGUGUCAGGACAUCUUCCUUUAUAACCCCUGGGGAGCCCGAGGGCUCUGGGUGUCACGUGCAGACUCUGAGAGCCUUCUCCCUGCUGCCUGUUGGCCAGGCCACCCUUCCUGGGCCCACCCAGCCUCUUAGGGUGGGCUCAGCUCUGCAAGUUCCUGAGGGACCAGUGGAGCCAGGAGGUGGGGAGGGGACAGGACCUCUGCCAGCGGAGAACUGUCAGUUGGAAGGGCACCAGCAGUGUCUGUCACGCAGUGUCCCUCAAGGGUUGGAAGGCAGACAUGAAGGGAAAGCAGAAAGCCAGACACAGAGGCGCACACCUGUGAUCUCAGGACUUGGGAGACUGAGGCAAGAGGAUUACAAGUUUGAGUCUCACCUGAAGAACUUAGUGAGACUCUGUCUCAAAAUAAAAAAUAAGCCAGGUGAAAUGGCGCAUGCAGCACUUAGGCUGAGGCAGAAGGAUCACCAGUUCUCAGCCAGCCUGGGCUGCUGAGAACAGCAGUGAGGACCCUGUGAGGAUGCGGUUUCAAGACAGAUGGUGAAGGCUGAGGUUCCUUCAACAAUGGAACGUCCUCAACAGGAACAAGGAACAAGCCCCUGCCACAUGCUGCAUUGUGGAGCAACCCCAAACUCCACGCCCAGGGAAAGGAGCCAGGACCACAACUAAUGACUCCCUGUGUGUGAAAUGUCCUGAAAGGGAGAACAGUAGAAAGAAGUGGUCGGAGCUCGGGAUUUAGCUCAGUGGUUCCGCCACUUGCCUCGAAAACACAAGGUCCUGAAUUUGAUCCCAGUACCAAAAAAAAAGGAAGAUAGACUAAUAUUGAUUGAAGCUGCAUGGUGCAGAUAUAGAUAUCGUAAUAUCCUUUUUUCACGUGUAUUUGAGUAUUUCUGUAAUAAGUUUGUUCUGGAGGUGGAAUAUGCUAAGUUACAAGAGGAUCUGAAAAUAAACUGAGAUAGAGAAGGGGAGGGAGAAGCAAAUGAUUUAAGAUGUGUAUGGACGUGUCCCAAACUCCCAUGAUGAAUGUAAGUGUACACUGCAAACAAACACUAAUAAAGUUUUUAAAAGAUGAAAC